AUCUUCUCAUACAUCUGUGCUUCUCCGUCUUUACGGUGGAUGUAUUUUAAGACCAAUCAGCGGUGGUUGCUAGGCGGACCCAGAGUCGGCGGGCCAAUCAGUGUUUUUCUGUCAAUGUUAACUGACGUAUGUCGUCAUUGGCUACGACGUGUCUCCUCAUUGGCCACGAACGUCUGGGAGGAGCGCAGAGAGGCGGAGAAACGAAGUCGGAAAACAGAUUUAAUCCAAGUUUGAAGCGUUGCCUCUGUUUGCCAGUGCAGUGAGACAAAGUCACAGGUGUGGAUGCUAAAACAAACUCUGGGGCUGCUUUUUGUCGAACACGAGUGAGACCGAACACUGAAUACAUCUGCAGUAAGGCGAAGGUUUACUGAUUCAGCUGCUGCAGCCUGGACAGAAACACCAGCUCUCACCUGGCAAACCAAACGGGUGCCAUCACUUCGUCUGUGAUCACAGAGUCUUCGUAUGAUGAAGAAGUUCUUUGACACCAGGACAGAGGCCUCCAGGAUUCAAACUUCAACCAUUAAAUCACAGAGAGAAGAGAAGAGACAGACUUGAAGACAUUUCCAGAAGGUCUUCAGCUGCUGUCAUCUUCUCCUCCUGCAGAGACAAGAACACAUGUUAAUCACAGAAACUGAUCAGUAAAAAAAAAUGUCUUACCUUUUUUGACACCUGCCCAUACUAUGACAUCUUUUUGGUGGCUUACUGUACUAUGACAUUUUUUCACUUUUUUCACAUACAAUGACAUGUGACAUGUGGCUUAAAGCAGCCAUCUUACCUGUGUGAUUUAGUGUGUUUUUGGUGUUCUGAUUUUUCAAACAGUGCAAUAACAGUGCUCAAAUCCAAUCUAUUACUGUGUACAUAGUCCUGUUUAUACUGUUCAUGUUGUUAUAAUUUUUACAUACUGUUAUAUAUUAACUUGUCUUAAAACUUGUCUUUCUUAUAUCAUGCCUUUUUCUGUUUUUGCUGCUGAAACACUGAAUUUCCUGACUGUGGGACUAAUGAAAGAUCAUCUUUCUCUUACUCAAAUAAAUACUUCUGAAC